GAUGAACGCUGGCGGCGUGCCUAAUACAUGCAAGUCGAGCGAACGGACGAGAAGCUUGCUUCUCUGAUGUUAGCGGCUGACGGGUGAGUAACACGUGUAUAACCUACCUAUAAGACUUGUAUAACUUCGGGAAACCGGAGCUAAUACCGGAUGAUAUUUUUAACCGCAUUGUUCAAUAGUGAAAUACGUUCUUGCUGUCACUUAUAGAUGGAUCCUCGCUGCAUUAGCUAUUUGGUAAGGUAACGGCUUACCAAGGCAACGAUGCAUAGCCGACCUGAGAGGGGGAACGGCAACACUGGAACUGAGAAACGGUCAAGAGUCCGACGGGAGGAAGCAGUAGGGAAUCUUCCGCAAUGGGCGAAAGCAUGACGGAGAAACGACGCGUGAGUGAUGAAGGUCUUCGGAUCGUAAAACUCUGUUAUUAGGGAAGAAAAUAUGUGUAAGUAAAUGUGCACAUCUUGACGGUACCUAAUCAGAAAGCCACGGCUAACUACGUG
rnacentral:rRNA from 1 species